rnacentral:rRNA from 1 species
AUUGAACGCUGGCGGCAUGCCUUACACAUGCAAGUCGAACGGCAGCACGGGUGCUUGCACCUGGUGGCGAGUGGCGGACGGGUGAGUAAUACAUCGGAACAUGUCCUGUAGUGGGGGAGAGCCCGGCGAAAGCCGGAUUAAUACCGCAGACGAACUACGGAUGAAAGCGGGGGACCUUCGGGCCUCGCGCUAUAGGGUUGGCCGAUGGCUGAUUAGCUAGUUGGUGGGGUAAAGGCCUACCAAGGCGACGAUCAGUAGCUGGUCUGAGAGGACGACCAGCCACACUGGGACUGAGACACGGCCCAGACUCCUACGGGAGGCAGCAGUGGGGAAUUUUGGACAAUGGGCGAAAGCCUGAUCCAGCAAUGCCGCGUGUGUGAAGAAGGCCUUCGGGUUGUAAAGCACUUUUGUCCGGAAAGAAAUCCUUGGCCCUAAUACGGUCGGGGGAUGACGGUACCGGAAGAAUAAGCACCGGCUAACUACGUG